rnacentral:rRNA from 1 species
UACAGAGGGGGCAAGCGUUGUUCGGAAUUACUGGGCGUAAAGGGCGCGUAGGCGGCCUUCUAAGUCGAACGUGAAAUCCCCGGGCUCAACCCGGGAACUGCGUCCGAUACUGGGAGGCUUGAAUCCGGGAGAGGGAUGUGGAAUUCCAGGUGUAGCGGUGAAAUGCGUAGAUAUCGGGAGGAACACCAGUGGCGAAGGCGAGUCUCUGGGAUGAUGCUGACGCUGAGGCGCGAAAGCCAGGGGAGCAAACGGG